UUUAAGGGGGGGGUACACAUGAAAUCAUUUGAAAAAAUCGAUUUUCAUUUUUUGAGCUAAAUAGUUACUGUGGCAUGUAAUUGAUGUUGUGAAAGUAUUUAUUUGCUUGAAUUUAAAAAAUUGUUCUGUCAGGAGCUGUUUUUAACCACCUCACUAUAAUUUUUAGCUUGGUUUCCAUGGUAACGAAAGGCAGAAUCCUUCAUAUUUUUCAUGUUUUUACCAAUAUACUGCUGUCCCUCCCCUCCCUAAUAUAAAAUAAUGAUACAGGCUCAUCUCUAGAUGAUUUUGCAGCGGAUUUACGUGGCGAUUAUGCGCAUAGAUGCAUUUUUUGAGAACUGGUGAUUCAAACAGAACAAACUCGAAAAUGUGUUUCAAUAUUUAAUAAAUAUUGAUCACUUUUGUGUAUAUAUUUCUUAACAUAUGGUUAAAAAUAACUAAUAAUGGUUCACAGAAAACAUUAAAACGAAACUUUAUUCACUGGGGUGAAGAAAUGCGCUAUAAAGACGACGAUAAAACGUGAACACAUUCAGGCAAUAAUCGGGCAUUAUUCAAUUGGCAUUCAAUGCCAAAUAUCAACAGUCAUCUUCGAUUUGGAUUCUUGGACGUCUUAUAAACAGAUCUUCAAACGUUUAUUCUGCUGAACUUAAAAGUUGUGGAUGUAAGUAUUUUUCUAUCAUUGAAUGAUUGAUUCUAGUAUACAAUAACUCAAAAAUGUUAAUAAUAUAAUUAGUAAUUAUUGCAUAUUUGCAAUAUUAUGAUAUCAAGAGAUCGAUUUUCUCUACCCAAUUUUGGUACAGAUAUCAAUACAUUAUUUCUUGCUUCAUUGUUAUAAUUUUACUAUUUUAAUGCUUCUUGGUAUUAAUAUUAAUGAGGUUGUUUCUGUACUGCAUUUUAGGUACUGUAAUUACAUGUCAAGGUGUACCAAGUCUGUCAGUCUGAGAGCUUGUUUUGGGCUGAAUAUGUUUACCGAGUGUACCACUUGCAGCAAUAGGACAAGAAUACAGUUACAGACAAUGUUAUCUUACAAAAUCAUGUAAUUUGGUAUUGACAAUUGAUUCACAUAUACAAAAAACUGUGGUAAAUGUUGGUCUGCAUGUUCCUUUGGUAAGCACGAUGAGUGGAGUGUGCAUCUUUAAACAUCCUUAUUACCAGCAAGAGGGUUCGGCAAAGAAAACUAUGGAAAAUUUAGCUAUACCAAUAGAGUCAUUUAAGUUAACACACAGGAACAUCUUUUAAACCAAACAUCAAACUGCAGGAAAAACUAAGUUUGCUCUUAAAAGACAAGAAACAGGUCAGAAAGUCUAACCGCCAGACAUCUGAAAUAAACAACAGACGUCGACAGGUGGAGCAGCUCCAAAAGAAAACCGAGAGAAGAAGCUCUAUGAGAAGCAGAAGGGACAACCUAUGAGGCUGGAGGCUUCUGAAGUGCUAAAAGUACUUCUAAUGACAAAAAAUUAGGCUAAAGUCCCUGAAACCUGUCAGGAACAGCUCGAACAGUUGUUUAAAAACUUUAACACUUGUUUUCUCGGAAUGUACAUUUUCCGUCUUUGAGAAAAGAUAUCUCAUGAUGUAUUUAACCAAUUGUCCUGAAAUUUUCAGGGCUUAUUCUUUUAUUAGAGCUGUCUUAAUUAAGCAUAGGAAAUUUCUGUAUCUUGUGUAGAAUACAUUUUAUGGCAAAAAAUAUUAUCGAAAAAACCUAUGUUAACUUUGUACCUCUGCUGUGACCACUAGAUUUAUCAUACAAAAAAGUUCUAUGCUCAUUUAAGAUAAUGAUGCCUAUACUACUUACUGAUAAAAUUUCUUAAAAUUCCAAGCAAUUUAUAAGCAGAUAUCUUUUCUCAAAUGCACCCUAGUUUUGCACAGCAUGUGGUAUGAUUGCCGGCCUGGUGUCAGGUUACAAAGGACGUUAGGUACUAGUGAUUAGUAUUUUUAGUUUCUAUAGGUCAUAAGCUUUCUACUGAUAUAUAGUUUGUCAUAACUCUGGUGAAUAUCUUUAAAAUUACAGCCAUUUCAAAAAUGGCCAUCAAUCCAUGUGUACCCCCCCCUUAAGUCGCCUAAUGUUAUUAGAUCGAAAAAUAUUUAUGUAUAGAGUUUAAAUAAACGUUCAGUUUUUCAGAACUUUUGCAGUGGUCUAAACUUUCGAAGGGGGGGGGGGGGCAAAAUUUUUAUGGAUUUCGGAUGCGAGCGCCAUAGGCAUAGGCACGAGGAAAAUUUUGAAUUUCUAGAUUCAUUAGGAUGCUAUUUCACGUAUUUUAGGACGAGGUUUGAAGAACAGUUACAAC
rnacentral:lncRNA from 1 species